AUUGAACGCUGGCGGCAGGCCUAACACAUGCAAGUCGAGCGGAUGAGUGGAGCUUGCUCCAUGAUUCAGCGGCGGACGGGUGAGUAAUGCCUAGGAAUCUGCCUGGUAGUGGGGGACAACGUUUCGAAAGGAACGCUAAUACCGCAUACGUCCUACGGGAGAAAGCAGGGGACCUUCGGGCCUUGCGCUAUCAGAUGAGCCUAGGUCGGAUUAGCUAGUUGGUGAGGUAAUGGCUCACCAAGGCGACGAUCCGUAACUGGUCUGAGAGGAUGAUCAGUCACACUGGAACUGAGACACGGUCCAGACUCCUACGGGAGGCAGCAGUGGGGAAUUUUUGGACAAUGGACGCAAGUCUGAUCCAGCCAUUCCGCGUGCAGGAUGAAGGCCCUCGGGUUGUAAACUGCUUUGUACGGAACAAAGGUUUCUAUUAAUAACUAGGAGCUCAUGACGGUACCGUAAGAAUAAGCACCGGCUAACUAC
rnacentral:rRNA from 1 species